rnacentral:rRNA from 1 species
AGUUUGAUCCUGGCUCAGGAUGAACGCUAGCGGGAGGCUUAACACAUGCAAGUCGAGGGGUAACAGGGAGAAACUUCGGUUUUUCUGCUGACGACCGGCGAACGGGUGAGUAACGCGUAUGCAACCUACCUUUUACAGGGGAAUAGUUUUCGGAAACGGAAAUUAAUACCCCAUAACGCUGCACUGUGGCAUCACAGAGCAGUUAAAACUCCGGUGGUAAAAGAUGGGCAUGCGUAACAUUAGCUAGUUGGUAAGGUAACGGCUUACCAAGGCUGCGAUGUUUAGGGGACCUGAGAGGGUGAUCCCCCACACUGGUACUGAGACACGGACCAGACUCCUACGGGAGGCAGCAGUGAGGAAUAUUGGUCAAUGGGCGCAAGCCUGAACCAGCCAUCCCGCGUGCAGGAAGACGGCCCUAUGGGUUGUAAACUGCUUUUCUGAAGGAAGAAUAAUUCCGAGUUUUUCGGGAGAUGACGGUACUUCAGGAAUAAGCAUCGGCUAACUCCGUGCCAGCAGCCGCGGUAAUACGGAGGAUGCAAGCGUUAUCGGAUUUAUUGGGUUUAAAGGGUGCGUAGGGGCUAAUAAGUCAGUGGUGAAAUCUCUCGGCUCAACCGGGAAACUGCCAUUGAUACUGUUAGUCUUGAGUUCGGUUGAGGUAGGCGCAAUGUGUAAUGUAGCGGUGAAAUGCUUAGAUAUUACACAGAACACCAAUUGCGUAGGCAGCUUACUAGACCGACACUGACGCUGAGGCACGAAAGCGUGGGGAGCGAACAGGAUUAGAUACCCUGGUAGUCCACGCCGUAAACUAUGAUUACUCGUUGUUGGCGAUACACAGUCAGCGACCAAGCGAAAGCGAUAAGUAAUCCACCUGGGGAGUACGCUCGCAAGAGUGAAACUCAAAGGAAUUGACGGGGGCCCGCACAAGCGGUGGAACAUGUGGUUUAAUUCGAUGAUACGCGAGGAACCUUACCUGGGCUUAAAUGUAGAGUGCAUAAGUGGGAAACCAUUUUUUCCUUCGGGACUCUUUACAAGGUGCUGCAUGGUUGUCGUCAGCUCGUGCCGUGAGGUGUCGGGUUAAGUCCCAUAACGAGCGCAACCCUUAUCAUUAGUUGCCAUCGGGUAAUGCCGGGGACUCUAAUGAAACUGCCACCGUAAGGUGAGAGGAAGGUGGGGAUGACGUCAAAUCAGCACGGCCCUUAUGUCCAGGGCUACACACGUGUUACAAUGGUCGGUACAGAGGGCAGCUACCUGGUGACAGGAUGCCAAUCUCUAAAGCCGGUUCAAGUUCGGAUCGAAGUCUGCAACUCGACUUCGUGAAGCUGGAAUCGCUAGUAAUCGUAUAUCAGCAAUGAUACGGUGAAUACGUUCCCGGGCCUUGUACACACCGCCCGUCAAGCCAUGGAAGCUGGGGGUGCCUGAAGUUCGUAACCGCAAGGAGCGACCUAGGGUAAAACUAGUGACUGGGGCUAAGUCGUAACAAGGUA